UUGUUAGAGUAGCUACCAUAGUUAUUUUAAUACGGACAAGUACAAAACCUAAAAAUAAUACUGUACUUGAAGGACGGUGCCAAGUUUUUGAAAGCUCCGUAACUUUAGCUUGAUAGUACGUUACCGAGGGUGAAUCUGGUAACGACAGUAGACUCCAAGUUUGAGCCCAAUCCUCCGGAAACAGUUCGCUAUAGACAUUUUUGUUGUGUUAAAACCACAAAAGUUCACAGAUUGUUGUUUACCUUAAAUACAGGAUACAUUUAAGUGGAUAGCUACGUGUCGCUACACCAACUUUGGUCCAUGGACAUGAGGAAAACUUUUCUACUGACAGCUAAAGGAAUCUAAUGAUGUGCGCAUGCGCUGUGAACAUUUUUUAACACGGCAAUCCCCCCCUCGUGCAGAAGAGGGGAGAGCAACAUUGCCAAUUGAAAGAGUACUGAUCUAUAUCAGACGCUAAGCAAGUAUUCACUCCUCUAGCCUACCGCUAUUUAAAAUCCCACGCAUCCAGGCAGGGUGUAGGUGAUCACUUGCAACUGGAACCAGAGAGUCUUUUAUCAACUCUGCAAUGUCUAUAUGUGGGCUGCUGUUGGGUCCAGUCCUGUUAGAGCACAGUGCGCUCUGAAGACUUUUGCCUGCUUGGUUCAGGGAUGGAAGGAUGCUGGCAGCCUUCGAGGUCCCAUCUUCUCCAUGAGAGCAUAGAAGAACUUCGUUGACCUCCCCUUCAAUCUUUCGAGAAAGGAUGGCUGUUGACUUUCUGCAGGAUCGAGGUUUCUACAAAAGCAGCAGGAGGACAGCUCAUACCCACAGUACUAUCCUUAUUGUCUACAUCGAACAUGAUGGCAUCAAACAAACGACCACCUACAAAGGAAGAAAAAACCUAGUCAUUCUUGGGCACAGAUGCGUUCGAGGCCGUCCCCGAGAGUGACAGUCAAACGAUCAUCCGGUCGGAACCCAAACCAUUCAUUUGCUACUUGCAUCACAACAGGGUCUAGUUCUACAACCUCAACAGUAACAUUGGGCACAAAGUCCCUUAAAAACUGAGGCAGGCCUCCUCCACCGAGCCCCACCAGGAGCACCGACACUGGGACAUCUAAAGGAGAAGAUAGUGGGGAGUCAAAGUUAAAGCUCAAUCAAGUGUGAUAUUUCAUGCAAAGAGCUGGAAGGCUGUUGCUGUAUAGUUAGUACUUCCUCCUGCUAUAGCCCUCUACAACCUUAACCUGACUAUACAAUCUGAACUGACCUUUGUUUUGCGGCGUUCCCACCCCAAGCAUGGUGAGGCCAGCCACCAUAACUUCAUGGUGAGCGCAGCAGAGGAAGCCACUGUCCACUGACAGAGAGCUGGAGGAUGUUGUUGGAGCAGUUGUUGGCUUGGCCUUCUUUUUGUUUUUCUUCUUGUGAACUGAUGCUGCAGAGAAAUAAAUAUUCAUUCAUAUAAUCAAUGUACAUCUAUUUUAUAGCAACGUAUUAA